rnacentral:rRNA from 1 species
CCUACGGGAGGCAGCAGUGGGGAAUAUUGGGCAAUGGACGCAAGUCUGACCCAGCAACGCCGCGUGAAGGAAGAAGGCCUUCGGGUUGUAAACUUCUUUUAAGGGGGAAGAGCAGAAGACGGUACCUCUUGAAUAAGCUACGGCUAACUACGUGCCAGCAGCCGCGGUAAUACGUAGGUGGCAAGCGUUGUCCGGAUUUACUGGGUGUAAAGGGCGUGCAGCCGGAGAGACAAGUCAGAUGUGAAAUCCACGGGCUCAACCCGUGAACUGCAUUUGAAACUGUUUCCCUUGAGUGUCGGAGAGGUAGUCGGAAUUCCUGGUGUAGCGGUGAAAUGCGUAGAUAUAAGGAAGAACACCAGUGGCGAAGGCGGAUUACUGGACGAUAACUGACGGUGAGGCGCGAAAGCGUGGGGAGCAAACAGGAUUAGAUACCCCUGUAGUC